GAUGAACGCUAGCGACAGGCUUAACACAUGCAAGUCGAGGGGCAUCGGGACGUAGCAAUACGUUGCCGGCGACCGGCGGAUGGGUGAGUAACGCGUAUGCAACCUGCCCACGACAGGGGGACAGCCCGUUGAAAGACGGAUUAAUACCCCAUAAAACAGGGGUUCCGCAUGGGACUAUUUGUUAAAGGUUUUUCCGCGAGGGGGAUCCGGUUGUGGAUGGGCAUGCGUUCCAUUAGGCAGUUGGUGGGGUAACGGCUCACCAAACCGACGAUGGAUAGGGGAACCGGGAGGUUGGUCCCCCACACUGGUACUGAGAUACGGACCAGACUCCUACGGGAGGCAGCAGUGAGGAAUUUUGGUCAAUGGACGGAAGUCUGAACCAGCCAAGUCGCGUGAAGGAAGAAGGCCCUACGGGUUGUAAACUUCUUUUCUGUUUGAAGAAUAAGCUCGUCGAGACGAGUGAUGCCGGUAGGACAGGAAUAAGCAUCGGCUAACUCCGUG
rnacentral:rRNA from 1 species